GCGGAAGUAGCUCAGUUGGUAGAGCGGCAGCUUCCCAAGCUGCAGGUCGCGAGUUCGAGACUCGUCUUCCGCU
rfam:Fibrisoma limi BTZ 3, type strain:BTZ 3, WGS project CAIT01000000 data, contig: 10